GAUGAACGCUGGCGGCGUGCCUAAUACAUGCAAGUCGAGCGAAUGGAUUAAGAGCUUGCUCUUAUGAAGUUAGCGGCGGACGGGUGAGUAACACGUGGGUAACCUGCCCAUAAGACUGGGAUAACUCCGGGAAACCGGGGCUAAUACCGGAUAACAUUUUGAACCGCAUGGUUCGAAAUUGAAAGGCGGCUUCGGCCGUCACUUAUGGAUGGACACGCGUCGCAUUAGCUAGUUGGUGAGGUAACGGCUCACCAAGGCAACGAUGCGUAGCCGACCUGAGAGGGUGAUCGGCCACACUGGGACUGAGACACGGCCCAGACUCCUACGGGAGGCAGCAGUAGGGAAUCUUCCGCAAUGGACGAAAGUCUGACGGAGCAACGCCGCGUGAGUGAUGAAGGCUUUCGGGUCGUAAAACUCUGUUGUUAGGGAAGAACAAGUGCUAGUUGAAUAAGCUGGCACCUUGACGGUACCUAACCAGAAAGCCACGGCUAACUACGUGCCAGCAGCCGCGGUAA
rnacentral:rRNA from 1 species